GGGCGUAUGGUCUAGUGGUAUGAUUUCUGUUUUGCAUUUCUACAGAAGGUCCCGCGUUCGAUCCGCGGUACGUCCA